UCCCAAUCUCACUUUCACAAAAAUCAACCUCUCAGCCUCAUGUCUCUCUCGUCAAAACCCAUUCUCCACGAAUCUCUCUCUCAAUCGCGCUUCUCUCAAUCUCACGUUUCUCUCUCUCACGUUUCUCUCACCCUCAAUCAUUCAUCUAUCAGCUACUCUCUCAAUCUAAAAUGCAAGGAUCCAUGGUUUUAAGGAGAAACAAAAAGAAAGAAGCUCACCUUCGGCGACGACGACUCAGGGUUUUUGAUUUGGUAUGGUGGAGUCCAAAAGAGUAUCUCUGCAAACUACUUUUGAUGUGCUCAGAAUCGGAUUGUCCUGUUUGAUGCUUGUUCUUGGAACGUGAAAAGAUUAGUGAAAACUCAAGAGCGGUUUCGGUUUUCGCACGGCCUUGUUGGUGCGACUUCAUUGGGAAUUUGUUGCAGGUUGAUUCAAAUUCAAUGGUCUGGUGGAUGGUAGCAUUGUGGAUGGAAAACUUGAUGAGUUGUUUUGGGGAGAACGAGAACAUUGAUACUGCUUAUCCGGAAUUAAGUUUACAUUGGGAAUUCUUCGGAUGUCGAAGGUUGGAUAACAGAGCUUCUCGCAACAUUCUCAGAGGAUCCUUUAGUUCUCUUUUUUUUUGUCUUCCAGAGUGAGAAGCAUCUGAUGGUGUUGGCUUGGUAGGCUGAGAAACAACACAGGUUUGCAGUGCAUGAAGGUUUGUUGUCAUUUCAGACGAGAUCGGUCCAUCCAGAGAAUUCUGGCUCAAAUUCAAUGUAGACAACUUUUUGCAAUUGUGAAAUUUGAAUCGGAAUAGUACCAUUAAGCUUGUUCAUCAAGACUUGAAGACUGAUAAGAUUUCCAAAUUCUGGUGGCAAUGCACCAGUCAAUUGAUUCUCAGCCAAACUCAUCAAGGCCACUUUCUUACAAGAACCUGAUUCGGGAGGUAUCAAACCUGUCAUCUGAUUAUUAUCCAGCUCUAUGGACGUCAAAUUAUGUCCGGCUUCAUUGCAGGUACAGGCCCUUGCAACCUGACUGUGCAAAGCUAGAUCUUCUCUCUAUCUGACAUGUUGGAUAACUGAUCCAAUGGCCACGGAUGAUCCAAUAACAACUUGUAACAUUACAUAUGAAUUCAGUCUGUAGGGUCAAAACAAAGCUUAGCCUCGUCCCAAGGUCCAUUGAUCUCAAACCUGUACUCCUAUAGCGAGAAUAACAUGAUGGCAAACACAUGUAGUCUUGAUGGAAGACGAGAAGCAAUAAAAAUGGAGGCGACCACAGAAGCAUUUGCGGAUAUACAACUGGUUAAUGCAAGAUUCUUCAGAACCCCCCGGAGUUUAACAGAAUGGAUUUUGAGUAUGACAUAUUCUUGGGAGCUACAUCCUUAGAACCUGUACCGUGCAACCGGUCCCUUGAUGUAUGCUUGUAUUGUUCUUGCAACAUCUGCUUCUCUCCACGAACGUUGCCUUUGAAGUUCUUGCAUCCGGUUGAGCAUUACGUGUUGUUUGUAAAAGCUGCAUUUCACUCUUUUUAAUUUCAACCAUUAGUUCCCUCUUUUAUGGAUGUACAUGCUGCAAUAUAAUGGUUAUGACAUGAAUUUGAUCUUAUGAUGCUGUUGGUUUAGACAUUGUGUUGCUGUUUUGGUUUUUCUUGCAGGCUUCCUGUGUUCAGCCCCAAAAUCAAAGGGUGUCGCAAGCUUUUUGUUAUCAUUGUAAGUCAGAUAAGCUGUUGUUAUCAGCGCAGAACGAAUUGCAGUUGGGCUCUAAUCUGGAUGGAUGGACAUGAUUAAAGCUGCUAUCCCACUGACAUGAGGGCAUGCCAUGGACGUGGCUGAGUAUAUGUUAAAGUCGACACCCCUUCUUUGAAGUUGAUUAGGUUGUAGCUUGAUGAACUCUAGCUCUUCUCUCUUUUUUUUA